AGGGCAUAGCUAAAUUUUAUACAGGGGCCAUGUUGAAUGUGAAAGACAACGUGUUCAAAACUGCGCUCAUAUUCAAUGAUUCUGAAAUAACCCAUCUUGAAGACAUAAACAAUGUGCAUUGAUGGCUAGCCAGACUCUGUCCUGCCACAGUUCUCCUCCUACUCUUCAUUUCUUACCCCAAGGAGUAGUAAACAUGAAUCCUGACCCACCAAUGCAGUCCCAGAACUGAGAAAAGAUUCACUGCAGCUAAACACAUUGGAAAUGGAUGGGGAGAAGGCCUGAUGAAAAUUACUGAGGAAGCCUCUUAGCCUAUGUGCUCUGAGAGUAGUGACACCUAGCAGUCGUUCAAAAGAUGAUCAAGAGGAGCAUGAAAAAAUCCCCUGAAUCCAUUGGCUUUCUUCCCUAUACUGACAACAGUUUACUUGUGUAAGAGAUGCAUGCCUCGACUCCGGACCCCUUCUUUCAUCUGCAAAAUCAGCAGCACCCUCACAUCAUCUCCUGUAACAAACUCUCUCUGUCUCCUCCAUAUAAGGUCACUGAUGGUUACAUUUAGGGUCCAUGAUAUAAGGCCCUCUCCAGGGUGCCUGAGUUUGUUGUUUCAUCACAGAAUUACACGGAAGAGACUGGAAAGAUAACUCUUCAAAUGUCAAAUCAUUCCCCUAUAAAAAAUUUUGCCACAGCUGUUGAAAUAUGGCCUUAGGGUUUAUGACAGAAUUUGAACCAGCCCCAUGGAAAAUGCAUCUUGACUCUGCUUUUAUUCCUUUCCCUGCUGAGCUCCUAAUAGAAGAUGGAUGUCUAUUGCUUUUCUCUUGAUAUUCAUGGCACUGCUCCUCUCCAUCCAUAGGAUUAUCUUAUAGAUGAGGGUCUCAUCCUUUUGCCCAGGCUGGAGUACAG
rnacentral:lncRNA from 1 species